CGCUUAAGUGGUAAAGGAGGUAGGAUUACGAAGACAACCAGGAUGUUGGCUUAGAAGCAGCCAUACAUUUAAAGAGUGCGUAAUAGCUCACUGGUCGAGUGAUCCCGCGCCGAAAAUUAGCGGGGCUAAAGCGUACACCGAAGCUGCGGAUAGCAUACUUAGGUAUGCUGUGGUAGAGGAGCAUUCCUUAUGGGUAGAAGGUAAGCUGAAAGGCGAGCUGGACUGUAAGGAAGAGAGAAUGCCGGCAUAAGUAACGAGAGUAGAGUGAGAAACUCUGCCGUCGAAAGUCUAAGGAUUCCUGGGUAAAGGUCAUCUUCCCAGGGUAAGUCGGGACCUAAGCCGAGGCCGCGAGGCGUAGGCGAUGGAUAACCGGUAAAGAUUCCGGUACCACCCGAAGCCGCUAUAAAGGAAGCGGGGACGCAUAAAGAGAUUGUAUGCGGGCUGUUGGUAUAGCCCGUCCAAGCAGUGAACCAUCCUUAAGGGUAAGUACCUUAAGGUAAGGCGAGCUGUAACGGGGAGCAAUAGCGAAGAUACGAUCUAACGUGCCAAGAAAAGCCGCUACAAGGCCAGGGUGCCCGUACCGCAAACCGACACAGGUAGACGAGGAGAGAAUCCAAAGACGGACGGGAGAAAUUCUGUUAAGGAACUCGGCAAAUUAACCCCGUAACUUAGGAAGAAGGGGAGCCACCAAAAGGUGGCCGCAGAGAAAUGGCCCGAGCGACUGUUUACCAAAAACACAGGUCUCUGCCAAGUCGAAAGACGAAGUAUAGGGGCUGACGCCUGCCCGGUGCUGGAAGGUUAAGGGGAGAAGUGAUAAGCUUUGAACCGAAGCCCCAGUAAACGGCGGCCGUAACUAUAACGGUCCUAAGGUAGCGAAAUUCCUUGUCGGGCAAGUUCCGACCCGCACGAAAGGCGUAACGACUUGGGCGCUGUCUUAACAGAAUACCCGGUGAAAUUGUAGUACUCGUGAAGAUGCGAGUUACCUGCGACUGGACGGAAAGACCCCAUGGAGCUUUACUGUAGCUUGGCACUGGAUUUUGAUGCAGUUUGUACAGGAUAGGUGGGAGGCUAAGAAAUAAGGGCGCCAGUCCUUAUGGAGCCGCCGGUGGGAUACCACCCUAACUGCACCCAAAUUCUAACCCCGAAGUAGUUAACCUACCGGGGGACACUGUCAGGCAGGCAGUUUGACUGGGGCGGUCGCCUCCUAAAGAGUAACGGAGGCGUCCAAAGGUUGCCUCAAAGCGGAUGGAAAUCGCUUGAAAGAGUAUAAAAGCAGAAGGCAGCCUGACUGCGAGACAGACAAGUCGAGCAGGGACGAAAGUCGGGUUUAGUGAUCCGGUGGCACUGAGUGGAAGGGCCAUCGCUCAACGGAUAAAAGCUACCUCGGGGAUAACAGGCUUAUCUCCCCCAAGAGUUCACAUCGACGGGGAGGUUUGGCACCUCGAUGUCGGCUCGUCGCAUCCUGGGGCUGAAGUAGGUCCCAAGGGUUGGGCUGUUCGCCCAUUAAAGCGGUACGCGAGCUGGGUUCAGAACGUCGUGAGACAGUUCGGUCCCUAUCCAUCGCAGGCGUAGGAAAUUUGAGAGGAGCUGUCCUUAGUACGAGAGGACCGGGACAGACCGACCGAUGGUGUACCAGUUGUCCUGCCAAGGGCAUAGCUGGGUAGCCAAGUCGGGAAGGAUAAACGCUGAAAGCAUCUAAGCGUGAAGCCCACCUCAAGAUAAGAUUUCCCACCGUAAGGAUAAGACACCUUGG
rnacentral:rRNA from 1 species